UACGGGGGGGGGCAAGCGUUGUUCGGAAUUACUGGGCGUAAAGGGCUCGUAGGUGGCCAACUAAGUCAUACGUGAAAUCCCUCGGCUUAACCGGGGAACUGCGUCUGAUACUGGUUGGCUUGAGUUUGGGAGAGGGAUGCGGAAUUCCAGGUGUAGCGGUGAAAUGCGUAGAUAUCUGGAGGAACACCGGUGGCGAAGGCGGCAUCCUGGACCAAUACUGACACUGAGGAGCGAAAGCCAGGGGAGCAAACGGG
rnacentral:rRNA from 1 species